UACGUAGGGGGCUAGCGUUGUCCGGAAUCAUUGGGCGUAAAGAGCGUGUAGGCGGUCCGGUAAGUCCGCUGUGAAAGUCGGGGGCUCAACCCUCGAAUGCCGGUGGAUACUGUCGGGCUAGAGUGCGGAAGAGGCGAGUGGAAUUCCUGGUGUAGCGGUGAAAUGCGCAGAUAUCAGGAGGAACACCUAUUGCGAAGGCAGCAAACUGGUCGUCAACUGACGCUGAGGCGCGAAAGCGUGGGUAGCAAACAGG
rnacentral:rRNA from 1 species